rnacentral:rRNA from 1 species
AUGAACGCUGGCGGCGUGCCUAAUACAUGCAAGUCGAGCGAACAGACGAGGAGCUUGCUCCUCUGACGUUAGCGGCGGACGGGUGAGUAACACGUGGAUAACCUACCUAUAAGAUUGGGAUAACUUCGGGAAACCGGAGCUAAUACCGGAUAAUAUAUUGAACCGCAUGGUUCAAUAGUGAAAGACGGUUUUGCUGUCACUUAUAGAUGGAUCCGCGCCGCAUUAGCUAGUUGGUAAGGUAACGGCUUACCAAGGCAACGAUGCGUAGCCGACCUGAGAGGGUGAUCGGCCACACUGGAACUGAGACACGGUCCAGACUCCUACGGGAGGCAGCAGUAGGGAAUCUUCCGCAAUGGGCGAAAGCCUGACGGAGCAACGCCGCGUGAGUGAUGAAGGUCUUCGGAUCGUAAAACUCUGUUAUUAGGGAAGAACAAAUGUGUAAGUAACUAUGCACGUCUUGACGGUACCUAAUCAGAAAGCCACGGCUAACUACGUG